CCUUAGCCUUUGCAGUAGUGAUAAAAUUAUGCACCUUUGGACAAUAGACGGCGCAUUGCAACUCUCAGCAACCCUUUGGGCUAUAAAACUGAGAGUUGAAUAAUUGCAACUAGGCUGACGCUUCACAUCCUGUGCGCGGCUUUUUUCGCUUUGCAAAGGCUCAACUUUCAAACUAGUUAACAAUUCAACGGACAAUGGAGUUUCGUUGAGGAGUGUUGCGACGGAUUUAUAUACCUAGGAUAGGUCAGCCAGUUCACCGGUUGUGACUGAAGGCCUUGUUUUGAGGGUGUUUUGCAGACCAGUGGUCGUUCAAGAAAAACUGUAGACUUCCCCCAUAUGUACACUCUGGAUCAGCAGACGAUGUUUUGCUUAAAGCAGUCUUCCGGAGGAUUCCGGAAAUAGUCGAUGUAUCACGAUUGUCAUCCGGUUGACAGCUAACGAUAAAGGAGUAAUCGAAAUAUAAGCAGCUGUCGCUUCAGAAGUACAAGCAGAUGUCGCUCCUCGCCUUACCUAUAUUUGCACUCUAUACGUUGAAGAAAAACCCCUAGGGCGGGCCGCAUUGAUCACAGGAGCAUGAUUUAUGCUUUGAUGAAGACCGUUAUAAAACUAUUGGAUCACUGUUCUCGCAUUAAUUCAAAUAAGCGCGUUGCACAACAGUCAUAGACAUAAUGGGCCCCAUAACUAAUAUUGCGAUUCAAAUGUGUCUGUUUAUUCCAAUACUUUCCAUUCAAAUUGAACCUUCGAGGGAUGGAAAUAAUUUGAUAAUUGAAUGUUUCUCAGACAAUCGUUUUACAAUUUCUUUUACGAACCAACGAAAUGAAACCGAAAGUUUGGUGAGAUGCAUCCCAUAUACUGAUGUAACCGAAUGCUAUUUCACUGAUGCAAAGCUGAACAAAACACAUCAACUAACGAAUACGAUAAAUGGCGGCAAAUUGACCGUCCUUGACAUAACUGAGAAAAACUGUGGCCUGUAUACAUGCACCGAGAAUAAAAGCAAUAUCACCGCUAAUUAUACAUUCAAUGAAGCAUGUGCGACGUCUGGAAGUGGACAUAUUUCAUUGAUUCUUUGUAUCGAGAACUGUUUUUAUCUUUUGUUUGCGCUGGUUUCAACUACAUUUACACUGUAAAGCGUUACAACUAAAUUCCUUAAAAACA